rnacentral:rRNA from 1 species
UACGUAGGGGGCAAGCGUUGUCCGGAAUCAUUGGGCGUAAAGAGCGUGUAGGCGGCUCGGUAAGUCCGCUGUAAAAGUCCAGGGCUCAACCCUGGAAAGCCGGUGGAAACUGUCGAGCUAGAGUCCGGAAGAGGCGAGUGGAAUUCCUGGUGUAGCGGUGAAAUGCGCAGAUAUCAGGAGGAACACCAAUGGCGAAGGCAGCUCGCUGGGACGGUACUGACGCUGAGACGCGAAAGUGUGGGGAGCGAACAGG